CUCUGGAAACUUCAUUUCUCACAGAGCUUCUGACCUAGUCACUUUUCCUGACAUUGACAGAAGAUGAUUAUUUCUUCCUGGCUCUUCCUAUGUAGUCUCCAAUAAUUGGGUACAGCUGCCAAAGUUACCCAAACAUAUGCCUGUAAAACUGUGGUAAAUGUCUCACGUUUUGUCCUUGUACUACAUGGAUGUUAGUGCGGGCAGUUUCCACAUCUUUACACCUUUUCUAGUCUCCAGAGAAGAGGCAGCUAUUUUCUGGAAAGGUUCUUCUAAGAAUCUCAGCGUUAUUACCAAACCCCAGCAUUUAAGAGGGGUGUUAAAAUUAACCCCACCAAGUUUUCUCUGGGAUUAGCAGGAGGGACAAGGCUUUUCAGCAGCCAGUCAAAGCAGCAGCAGCAAAGCAGUUGGCUUGUGAGGCUACACAGAAUUACCUGUUGCCAGCCCCUGGUGUGGGCACAUUUUCAGCCACAGUCUCCCAGCAGUGAAUUCUCUUCACCAGCAGCUUGUAAAGCACAAGAACUGAUGGACUUUGUGCCCUGUGCUUGGCCUCCAACAACCCCCAGACCAUGACAGAGAAGCUACAGUGCCAUGCCAAUAGAGGAUCCUCGAGUCACAGCUGAAGAAGCCACAUUAACAUGACUCACAGAAUCACAAUGGAAAUUCUGAGGAAUUUCAUAAAUCAGAGUGAGCCAUUGCUGCACUCUGACAUUCAGCAAUUUUCCUGAAGAGAGAUUUAGUGCUACUAAAAAACAAGUAAUUCAUAGGUAGAAAAAAAUAGGCAAAUCCAUUUUCCUCCCAACUUGUUUGACUGACCUUGUGGUACAGGUAGGGAUGAUAAAGGUCAAAACUGCAUUUUUUGGUAACAAUCACCUUCUCCUGUAUGUAAAGAUUCAUAUAAAUGUAGAACUGCUGGAACAUCUAUGUAGAAAUGUUUACUCUGGGGUUUGGGUGCCUAUGCCCAGAUGCUGAGGGCUGCCAGGGCUCUGUGAGGGGAGCCCUCAGCCAGGCCGCGUCAUAUUGAGAAAGGGCAAAACCUGCAGGGAGUGAGGGGAAAAGUGUGAGGAAUGUCCCCGGAGUGAGGGGAAAAGUGUGAGGAAUGUCCCUGGGAGCGGCUGUGCUGGAUUCCCUGGCAGCCAGCACAGAGCAAAUCCACACUGCUGCCUGUGGCAGUCUGUGCUGAAGCAGGGGGUGUUUCCUGAGGGAACACCGCAGCCCGUGGAGCGCCCACACCGGAGCAACAGAGAGGGGCUGAAAUGGACUGAGCACAGCCCACAUUCCCCCUCCCUUCGGCCCUGCUCAGGGGGCAGGAAGAGGUGGAGCAGUUUGGAACAGAGAAAUGGAGCUAAGCUUGCAAAAAACAGAGUAUGAGGGGAAGGUUUCUGUUUUCUGAACAUGGACCCAGUGAAGGCUGGCAAAUACAGAAUAAGAAUCAGCAGUCUAAGCCUGCCUUGAUGUACCUUCUCUCCAAUAUUCAAGCCUUCAAAAUAUCACAGAUUACUGGCUGAAGAUUUAUGUAGUAGACACUACACUGUGGUGUACUCAUUGGGAUUAAUUUUUCCAAUCACCAAGCAAGGAUCCCUAAAAUUGCCUCUCCAUGGUAAAAUAAGAUCAAGGCUGAGAAGGCUUUUCCAAUCUAUGGUAUUCUGUGCAAAAGAACAAUACAGAAUUUCCAUUAAAAACUGCAGCAUUUCUGUCUCAACCCCCAUGUCUCUUCCUCUCAAUUUCAUUAGCUGCUCCCAAUGACAAAUGAUCAACUCAUAGUAGCUCUGUAACAGUGCAGCCAAAUUGAACAUUACUCUUGGAUUAUAGAGAAGUAAGUGUUGUAUCUACUGGCUUGAAUCAAAGGACAGUAAAUCAGCAUUCCACUUCUGCCCUGAUUACACAAGUGUAGCUCAUGUAGCUUUUACAAUACUUCUCCCCCACUCCAGUGUGCAUCUCCUUCAUGCUCUAAAUUGGCUUUCACCACUUUACUGCUGUAUUUCAGACAUCUUCCAAUGCAAACUGAACAAAGCUCAUGGUUUCCCCUUGUUGGCCUUGAAAAGUUUCCUUGUAGUUUAUGUGAGCACAGGAAACCUGUUCCAGGUCAUCCCUCACACGUACCCCACACCACAGGGUCCUACAGCUGAUUUCAGCUGAGAAGCACGUAGUAGCAGAAUAAGCUGUUUACACAAUAAUGUUAUGUGUAUAAUUAGCAACUAUCCCA